rnacentral:rRNA from 1 species
GACGAACGCUGGCGGCGUGCUUAACACAUGCAAGUCGAACGGCAAGGCCCUGCGUUUGUGGGCUUCCCGAUUGGCGAACGGGUGAGUAUCACGUGAGUAACCUGCCCUUGACUUUGGGAUAACUUCACGAAGCUGGGGCUACUACCGGAUAGCAUCCCCUGCAGCAGGGUGGGGGUUGGAACGUUUCGGCGGUUGGGGAUGGACUCGCGGCUUAUCAGCUUGUUGGUGGGGUAGUGGCUUGCCAAGGCUUUGACGGGUCGCCGGCCUGAGAGGGUGACCGGCCUCAUUGGGACUGAGAGACGGCCCAGACUCCUACGGGAGGCAGUAGUGGGGAAUAUUGCACAAUGGGCGGAAGCCUGAUGCAGCAACGCCGCGUGCGGGAUGACGGCCUUCGGGUUGUAAACCGCUGUCGCCUGUGACGAAGCGUUAGUGACGGUAAUGGGUAAAGAAGCACCGGCUAACUACGUG